rnacentral:rRNA from 1 species
CCUGGUUGAUUCUGCCAUUAGUCAUAUGCUUGUCUCAAAGAUUAAGCCAUGCAUGUCUAAGUAUAAGCAACUUUGUACUGUGAAACUGCGAAUGGCUCAUUAAAUCAGUUAUAGUUUAUUUGAUGGUUUUUGCUACAUGGAUAACUGUGGUAAUUCUAGAGCUAAUACAUGCAUUCAAGCCCCGACUUCUGGAAGGGGUGUAUUUAUUAGAUAAAAAUCAACUUUGUUGGUGAAUCAUAAUAACUUCUCGGACCGCAUGGCCUCGUGCUGGCGGUGCUUCAUUCAAAUAUCUGCCCUAUCAACUGUCGAUGGUAGGAUAGAGGCCUACCAUGGUUGCAACGGGUAACGGGGAAUAAGGGUUCGAUUCCGGAGAGGGAGCCUGAGAAACGGCUACCACAUCCAAGGAAGGCAGCAGGCGCGCAAAUUACCCAAUCCCAACACGGGGAGGUAGUGACAAUAUGUAACAAUAUACGGCCUUAUACGUCGUAUAAUUGGAAUGAGUACAAUUUAAAUCCCUUAACGAGGAACAAUUGGAGGGCAAGUCUGGUGCCAGCAGCCGCGGUAAUUCCAGCUCCAAUAGCGUAUAUUAAAGUUGUUGCAGUUAAAAAGCUCGUAGUUGGACCUUGGACCUGGACAGGCGGUCCGCCUCACGGCGAGUACUGUCUUGCUGGGUCUUUCCUCUUGGUGAUCUGUUGUUUCGGCAGCAGGGAACCAGGACCUUUACUUUGAAAAAAUUAGAGUGUUCAAAGCAGGCUCGACGCCGGAAUAUAUUAGCAUGGAAUAAUAAAAUAGGACGUGCGGUUCUAUUUUGUUGGUUUUUGGAAUCGCCGUAAUGAUUAAUAGGGACAGUCGGGGGGCAUUAGUACUCACAUGCUAGAGGUGAAAUUCUUGGAUUUUGUGAAGACUAACUUCUGCGAAAGCAUUUGCCAAGGAUG